CUCCCUGUGGCUCAACGGUAUAACAUCCAUUUCUCACGCUGAAGACCGGGGUUCGAUUCCCGGUCGUGACA